CCUGUCCUUGUGGAUAGGCUCAGGAGAAACAGGUUGGGCUCCCUGGGCCUCACGGAGCCCAAGGGACCUGGAGGGCCUGUCUGCACGUUUGCCAGUUUCUGGAGGACCAUGAGCUCUGGAGGAAUCCAGAAGACAGGCUUGGUUGAGCUCCUUGAGCAGCAAGUUUGGCCCAGGGUGCCCUGCAGGCCCUCCUAAAAGGGGGCCAAUGGUCAGGCCUCUACUGGAAGAUGUUCACUCCCCAGACACCGCCCCAGGGAUUAGGGAGUCCCCAGAUAGCCUGGCCAGCCCAGUUCCUUCCUGGAGAGUGCCUGGCCCUGGGCCCUGGAGGGGUUAGGCAGGGUGUGUCCUCCCUCCCGAGCCUGGCAUCUCUGGCUUCCAGGGCUGGCAGCACUGCCUGCCAGGGCUGCCCCAGACACUCAUGUGUGUUUGAAGCCAGCUGCCACACAAAGCUUCAUUGUGGGCCUUGGCCUGGUGGGCAGGCACAUGACUGCAGAGGGUGGGCACUGCCUGAUGGGUGUGCCACUGCCUUCCUCCAGGCUGAGGCUCUGCGUCCCUGCCUAUGACCCCACACACCAGAAGCCAGGCGGGAGGAGCUGGAGGACUGUGGGGAGGAGGAACCCAGCGGUUCAGUACCCUCGAGGGGGCUUCUUGCCCUUGCCUACAUUGCUCCAAUCAGGGUCCUUCUGGGGUCAGCCCAGGGCCCAGGCCCCUACUUUACCCAGAGCCAGGUCCUGUGGUCUCUGUCACAGAUCUCAUCCCCUAGACAGGGCCCUUGUGUCUGAAGGUCUCCCUGUGAAGGAGUCUGGGCCCUGAGGCACAGAGCAGGCUUUGGAGACCCGGGACCAGCCCAUCAGUGGGGCAGAACCACUGUGGGCUCCCUGUCUUUCCUGUUGACAGCUGGUUCUGACUUAGGGCCUCAGCCAGGGCCCAGGUGGCUGAAGGAGGAAAGGAAGCCCCAAGCUCAAGGCUUCUGGCCAUCAGAGGUUUAACCCAGGCAUGACUCACAUGAGCCAAACAGCAAGAAGUCUCUCCCCAACCCACUGACUCCUUCCUGUGAGCCCCUCCCUGUGCUCAAGCCUCUCACAGAGACAAACCCACAAAAACACCUCAAACAGAGGAGCAGAGGGUGCUCCCUGGACUGAGCGUUGGCCACAGCUCAGCUCAUUGUCAUCUUCCUGUCCUUCCCAAGCUCCAGAUAGUGCACCUCGAACUCUGAAAUGACCGUGGGGAGGGUGUGCUGUAGGCUGGGUUCUGAGCAUCUCCCGAAGGCCCAGGUGUGGAAGGCUGUGGCCCCAUAUUGGAGCUGUUGGGAGGUAGGGGGACCUUCAGGAGGUGGGGCCUAGCACAGGAAGUGAGGUAAUCACCACAGGAAGUGAGGUCAUUAGGAGAGUGCCCUGAAAGGCGAAUUGGGACCUUCACCCUUCCUGUUCCUUUUGUUUCCCAGUCACCAAGAGGGGAGUGCCUUUGUUCUGUCAUAUGUUUCUGUGAUGUUCUCUGUUACAACAGGCCCUGCAGCAAUGGUCCACACCACUGUUGACUGAAACCUCAGACUGUGAGCUAAAAUAAAUCCUUCUUCCUUUAAGUGGAUUACCUGAGGUAUUUUGUCAUAGUCAUGAAAAGCUGUCAACACACCGCACACCCGUUCUUGGCUCCUAAACCCAAGGAAUCUCCAAAGCGAUAUGUGUCUUUUUGUCUACUAUUGAGGGGACUUAUGGCUGGAGGAUGGAGGCUGGUUGCAAUGGGAAUCAACCACAUGAUGGGAGGGUUUGGAUUUUCAAGCUCACCCUUGACCUCUGGGGAAGGGCUGAAGGCUGUGUUGAUCAGCAAGGGCCAAUAAUGUAACCAAUCAUGCCUAUGUAAUGAGGCCUCUGAGGCAGCCUGCAGGGACAGGGUUCUGAGCACUUCUGGUCCCUGAACGCAAGGAGGUCCCUGGAGGGUGGGUGGCCUGGACGGGACAUGGAAGUGCCCUGUCCCUUCCCACAUGCCUUGUGUAAGAACUAAGUUAAAUCCUGGGACAUCUGUUUGGUGUUGACCAAGUACUGGGGAGUUGAAUUGCAAGAACCAUAGCUCGUACAUGGGAGACCGGAAGCACCGUGUGAGUGUAUAGAAGGGAUGCGGCCCAUCUUCCCUGUACAGAUGGAGCAGGGGUUCUGCUCUGCAGCCUCAAAGGGACCCCCACCCCGUCCUCUGCAUUGCACCCCGAGCCAAGGUGCCCACCUUCGCCCACUCGUGCUGCCUGGAGCUGCCACUUCUCUGAGGCUUCCCCUGCUGAAAGGACAGCUCCAACAUGAGCCUGGGGGCCUGGCUCAUCACCCCCAGCCUCCUGGCCUCUCUUGUACCUUUCUUUUUUUUUUUUUUGGUACCGGGGAUCGAAGUUGCGACCUUGCGCUUGUGAGGCAGGCAGUGGAAUCACUGAGCUAAAUCCCCAGCCCCUCUCUUGUACCUUUCCCCACAUGCCUGAGCUCAGUAGCAUCUCUUGGUAGUCAUCACCCCAUGUUCUUGUGCCUCAUUCCAGG
rnacentral:lncRNA from 1 species